rnacentral:lncRNA from 1 species
GCCUGAUCUGGAGGAGUGUGAAGGGAAACACCCAGGAAGCAGGGUCUGUUGAGUGCCUCAACACAAGGCUGCAACAGGUGGGACUUGACCUGCAAGUGCAGGAGCCAAGGGUGGGCAAGCAUCUCCACACGUUUUGAUUUUAAGGAAAAUUAUUCUUGUGACCACGCACAGGGUGGGAGAAGGAGUGAGCCCACUCGCUCACUAUUCCAGCACCGACACGGGGACGCUCACUAUUCCAGCACCGACGUGGGGACGCUCACUAUUGCAGCACCGACAAGGGGCACCAACACGGGGAUGUUCACAAUUCCAGCACCGACAUGGGGACGCUCACUAUUCCAGCACCGACACGGGGAUGCUCACUAUUCCAGCACCGACGUGGGGACGCUCGCUAUUUCAGCACCGACAAGGGGCACCGACACGGGGACGCUCACUAUUCCAGCACCGACAAGGGGCACCGACACGGGGACACUCACUAUUCCAGCACCGACACGGGGACGUUCACUAUUUCAGCACCGACACGGGGACGAUCACUAUUCCAGCACCGACACGGGGACGUUCACUAUUUCAGCACCGACACGGGGACGAUCACUAUUCCAGCACCGACACGGGGACGCUCACUAUUCCAGCACCGACAAGGGGCACCGACACGGGGACGCUCACUAUUGCAGCACCGACAAGGGGCACCGACAUGGGGACGCUCACUAUUCCAGCACCGACACGGGGCACCGACAUGGGGACGCUCACUAUUCCAGCACCGACACGGGGUCGCUCACUAUUCCAGCACCGACACGGGGACACUCACUAUUCCAGCACCGACACGGGGCACCGACACGGGGACGCUCACUAUUCCAGCACCGACACGGGGACGCUCACUAUUCCAGCACCGACACGGGGACGCUCACUAUUGCAGCACCGAUACAGGGAUGCUCACUAUUCCAGCGCUAAUACGGGGACGUUCACUAUUCCAGCACCGACACGGGGACGUUCACCCUUCCAGCACCAACACGGGGACGUUUACUAUUCCAGCACCGACAAGGGGCACUGACAGGGGAAUGCACACUAUUCCAG